rnacentral:rRNA from 1 species
AUUGAACGCUGGCGGCAGGCCUAACACAUGCAAGUCGAGCGAGGGGCGGACGGGUGAGUAAUGUAUGGGGAUCUGCGAGAGAGAGGGGGAAAAAUACGGGAAACGGUGGCUAAUAGCGCAUAAUAGCGGAUGCACCGAUGUGGGAUUAGCUAGUAGGUGGGGUAAAGGCACACCGAGGCGACGAUCUCUAGCUGGUCUGAGAGGAUGAUCAGCCACACUGGGACUGAGACACGGUCCAGACUCCUACGGGAGGCAGCAGUGGGGAAUAUUGCACAAUGGGCGCAAGCCUGAUGCAGCCAUGCCGCGUGUAUGAAGAAGGCCUUCGGUUUGUAAAGUACUUUCAGCGGGGAGGCGUUACCCGCAGAAGAAGCACCGGCUAACUCCGUGCCAGCCGCCGCGGUAAUUC